rnacentral:rRNA from 1 species
GACGAACGCUGGCGGCGUGCUUAACACAUGCAAGUCGAACGGAAAGGCCCUGCUUUUGUGGGGUGCUCGAGUGGCGAACGGGUGAGUAACACGUGAGUAACCUGCCCUUGACUUUGGGAUAACUUCAGGAAACUGGGGCUAAUACCGGAUAGGAGCUCCUGCUGCAUGGUGGGGGUUGGAAAGUUUCGGCGGUUGGGGAUGGACUCGCGGCUUAUCAGCUUGUUGGUGGGGUAGUGGCUUACCAAGGCUUUGACGGGUAGCCGGCCUGAGAGGGUGACCGGCCACAUUGGGACUGAGAUACGGCCCAGACUCCUACGGGAGGCAGCGGUGGGGAGUAUUGCACAAUGGGCGGAAGCCUGAUGCAGCGACGCCGCGUGCGGGAUGACGGCCUUCGGGUUGUAAACCGCUUUCGCCUGUGACGAAGCGUGAGUGACGGUAAUGGGUAAAGAAGCACCGGCUAACUACGUG